rnacentral:rRNA from 1 species
GGUUAAGUGACUAAGCGUACACGGUGGAUGCCUAGGCAGUCAGAGGCGAUGAAGGGCGUGCUAAUCUGCGAAAAGCGUCGGUAAGGUGAUAUGAACCGUUACAACCGGCGAUACCCGAAUGGGGAAACCCAGUGUGUUUCGACACACUAUCAUGUCAUGAAUACAUAGUGGCAUGAGGCGAACCGGGGGAACUGAAACAUCUAAGUACCCCGAGGAAAAGAAAUCAACCGAGAUUCCCCCAGUAGCGGCGAGCGAACGGGGAGGAGCCCAGAACCUGAAUCGGCUUGUGUGUUAGUGGAAGCGUCUGGAAAGUCGCGCAGCAAAGGGUGAUAGCCCCGUACACUAAAAUGCACAGGUCGUGAGUUCGAUGAGUAGGGCGGGACACGUGACAUCCUGUCUGAAUAUGGGGGGACCAUCCUCCAAGGCUAAAUACUCCUGACUGACCGAUAGUGAACCAGUACCGUGAGGGAAAGGCGAAAAGAACCCCGGCGAGGGGAGUGAAAUAGAACCUGAAACCGUGUACGUACAAGCAGUGGGAGCACCUUCGUGGUGUGACUGCGUACCUUUUGUAUAAUGGGUCAGCGACUUAUAUUUUGUAGCAAGGUUAACCGUAUAGGGGAGCCGUAGGGAAACCGAGUCUUAACUGGGCGAAUAGUUGCAAGGUAUAGACCCGAAACCCGGUGAUCUAGCCAUGGGCAGGUUGAAGGUUGGGUAACACUAACUGGAGGACCGAACCGACUAAUGUUGAAAAAUUAGCGGAUGACUUGUGGCUGGGGGUGAAAGGCCAAUCAAACCGGGAGAUAGCUGGUUCUCCCGAAAGCUAUUUAGGUAGCGCCUCGUGAACUCAUCUUCGGGGUAGAGCACUGUUUCGGCUAGGGGGCCAUCCCGGCUUACCAAACCGAUGCAAACUCCGAAUACCGAAGAAUGUUAUCACGGGAGACACACGGCGGGUGCUAACGUCCGUCGUGAAGAGGGAAACAACCCAGACCGCCAGCUAAGGUCCCAAAGUCAUGGUUAAGUGGGAAACGAUGUGGGAAGGCAUAGACAGCCAGGAUGUUGGCUUAGAAGCAGCCAUCAUUUAAAGAAAGCGUAAUAGCUCACUGGUCGAGUCGGCCUGCGCGGAAGAUGUAACGGGGCUAAACCAUGCACCGAAGCUGCGGCAGCGACGCUUAGGCGUUGUUGGGUAGGGGAGCGUUCUGUAAGCCGUUGAAGGUGGCCUGUGAGGGUUGCUGGAGGUAUCAGAAGUGCGAAUGCUGACAUAAGUAACGAUAAAGCGGGUGAAAAGCCCGCUCGCCGGAAGACCAAGGGUUCCUGUCCAACGUUAAUCGGGGCAGGGUGAGUCGACCCCUAAGGCGAGGCUGAAAAGCGUAGUCGAUGGGAAACAGGUUAAUAUUCCUGUACUUGGUGUUACUGCGAAGGGGGGACGGAGAAGGCUAGGCUAGCCGGGCGACGGUUGUCCCGGUUUAAGCGUGUAGGGGGUGUGACCUGGUAAAUCCGGUUGCAUAUCAACCCUGAGGCGUGAUGACGAUGCACUACGGUGCAGAAGUAGUUGAUGCCCUGCUUCCAGGAAAAGCCUCUAAGCUCUAGGUAACAUUGAAUCGUACCCCAAACCGACACAGGUGGUCAGGUAGAGAAUACCAAGGCGCUUGAGAGAACUCGGGUGAAGGAACUAGGCAAAAUGGUGCCGUAACUUCGGGAGAAGGCACGCUGGCAUGUAGGUGAAGUCCUUCGCGGAUGGAGCUGAAGCCAGUCGAAGAUACCAGCUGGCUGCAACUGUUUAAUAAAAACACAGCACUGUGCAAACACGAAAGUGGACGUAUACGGUGUGACGCCUGCCCGGUGCUGGAAGGUUAAUUGAUGGGGUCAGCCGCAAGGCGAAGCUCUUGAUCGAAGCCCCAGUAAACGGCGGCCGUAACUAUAACGGUCCUAAGGUAGCGAAAUUCCUUGUCGGGUAAGUUCCGACCUGCACGAAUGGCGUAAUGAUGGCCAGGCUGUCUCCACCCGAGACUCAGUGAAAUUGAACUCGCUGUGAAGAUGCAGUGUACCCGCGGCAAGACGGAAAGACCCCGUGAACCUUUACUAUAGCUUGACACUGAACAUUGAGCCUUGAUGUGUAGGAUAGGUGGGAGGCUUUGAAGCGUGGACGCCAGUCUGCGUGGAGCCAUCCUUGAAAUACCACCCUUUAAUGUUUGAUGUUCUAACUCGGCCCCAUAAUCUGGGGUGAGGACAGUGUCUGGUGGGUAGUUUGACUGGGGCGGUCUCCUCCCAAAGAGUAACGGAGGAGCACGAAGGUUAGCUAAUCACGGUCGGACAUCGUGAGGUUAGUGCAAAGGCAUAAGCUAGCUUGACUGCGAGAGUGACGGCUCGAGCAGGUACGAAAGUAGGUCUUAGUGAUCCGGUGGUUCUGAAUGGAAGGGCCAUCGCUCAACGGAUAAAAGGUACUCCGGGGAUAACAGGCUGAUACCGCCCAAGAGUUCAUAUCGACGGCGGUGUUUGGCACCUCGAUGUCGGCUCAUCACAUCCUGGGGCUGAAGUAGGUCCCAAGGGUAUGGCUGUUCGCCAUUUAAAGUGGUACGCGAGCUGGGUUUAGAACGUCGUGAGACAGUUCGGUCCCUAUCUGCCGUGGGCGUUGGAAGAUUGAGAGGGGUUGCUCCUAGUACGAGAGGACCGGAGUGAACGCACCACUGGUGUUCGGGUUGUCAUGCCAAUGGCAUUGCCCGGUAGCUAAGUGCGGAAAAGAUAAGCGCUGAAAGCAUCUAAGCGCGAAACUUGCCUCAAGAUGAGUCUUCCCUGGGCCUUUAAGGUCCCUGAAGGAACGUUUAAGACUAAGACGUUGAUAGGCUGGGUGUGUAAGUGCAGCGAUGCAUUGAGCUAACCAGUACUAAUGAUCCGUGAGGCUUAACCUU